rnacentral:rRNA from 1 species
UAGGGAAUCUUCCACAAUGGGCGAAGCCUGAUGGAGCAACGCCGCGUGUGUGAUGAAGGGUUUCGGCUCGUAAAACACUGUUGUAAGAGAAGAAUGACAUUGAGAGUAACUGUUCAAUGUGUGACGGUAUCUUACCAGAAAGGAACGGCUAAAUACGUGCCACCAG